rnacentral:rRNA from 1 species
AACGAACGCUGGCCGGCACGCCUCCAUACAUGCAAGUCGAGCGCGAAACCACCUUCGGGUGAUGUAGAGCGGCGAACGGGUGAGUAACAGGUGGGUAAUCUGCCCUUUGGCGGGGGACGAACUAGCUGGAAACGGCUGCUAAUACCGCAUGUGAUUGUGGACUUAUGGUCUGCAAGGAAAGGCGCCUCAAAGCGCCACCAAAGGAUGAGCCCGCCCCCCAUUAGCUAGUUGGUGAGAUAACAGCUCACCAAGGCAUCGAUGGGUAGCCGAGCUGAGAGGUUGAUCGGCCACACUGGAACUGAGACACGGUCCAGACACCUACGGGUGGCAGCAGUAGGGAAUAUUGCGCAAUGGGCGAAAGCCUGACGCAGCGAUGCCGCGUGAGUGACGAAGGUCUUAGGAUUGUAAAGCUCUUUUCUGAGGGAAGAAUAGGUCUGGUAGGAAAUGACUGGAUUCUGACGGUACCUCAGGAAUAAGGAACGGCUAACUCCGUG